UACAGAGGGUGCGAGCGUUAAUCGGAAUUACUGGGCGUAAAGCGUGCGUAGACGGUUAUCUAAGUCGGAUGUGAAAGCCCCGGGCUCAACCUGGGAAUUGCAUUCGAGACUGAAUAGCUAGGGUGCGGUAGAGGGAAGCGGAAUUUCCGGUGUAGCGGUGAAAUGCGUAGAUAUCGGAAGGAACAUCAGUGGCGAAAGCGGCUUCCUGGACCAGUACCGACGUUCAGGCACGAAAGCGUGGGGAGCAAACAGG
rnacentral:rRNA from 1 species